rnacentral:rRNA from 1 species
AAGGGUCCGUAAAACGGUAAAUUAAGCGAGUAGGAUAAGGGAAGGGUUAACUUCCUCCUUUACUAUAAUCGAACUAAUUUACUAGAGUCUUAUAGAGGAACAGAGGAAUUGCAAGAGUAAGGAUGAAAUCUAUUGAUACUUGUAGGACCGCCAAAGGCGAAGGCAUCGUUCCAGGUAAAGACUGACGUUGAGGGACGUAGGCGUUGGGAGCGAAAAGGAUUAGAUACCCCUGUAGUCAACGCAGUAAACGAUGAGUGCUUAAGAUUAGUAAUAAUUAUAUGUAUUAUACAUUAAUUUAAAUUAGUUUUGAAAUGAAGAUGUUAAGCACUUCACCUGGGGAGUACUGUCGCAAGGCUGAAACCCAAAACAUUAGACGGUCACGGAAACCAGCAGUGAAGCAUGUUAUUUAAUACGAUGAUCCGCGUACAACCUUACCACUUCUUGAAUGUCCUUUUCCUUAAAAAGAAAAGGCCUAUUUAACUUUACUUUGCUAAAGUUCUCGCUUGAGCAAAGUAAAGUUAAAUUUGGAUAAAUACAACAGGCGUUGCAUGGCUGUCUUCAGUUCGUGUCGUGAGAUGUCAGGUUCAUUCCAAUAAACGAAUGAAACCCUUCUUUCUUAAUUUUGCACUAUUUUUUUUUAUUAAGAUGACCCUUGGAAAACGAGGAUAUAAUAGGGAUUAAGACAAGUCGUCAUGGCCUUUAUGAAGUGGGCUAUAGACGUGCCACAAGAGCCUUUACAAUGGGAUGCUAAGACGUGAGUCAGCGCUAAACCUUAAAAAAGGCUAUGUUCGGAUUGUAGUCUGCAACUCGACUACAUGAAGUAGGAAUUGCUAGUAAUCGUAA